CGAGCGUUAACAAAAAUCAUGAAACUGAGAAACGGUCGCUACCCAUUUGGCUCCAUUUGAUUAAAAUUUGUAUUUUGAAAUAUGCUCUGAAUUCCAACACACACCAGAUGCUCCGAGAACCCAACGAACCAAGCUGCCAUCAACCUCAGAAAACAGCGCCAAACCCAAGGAUCUGCAGAUCAACCAGACCCCAUUGGAGCAUUUGAUCACCAUGGAAAACCAGCGUAACCUUCCUACGGAGAUCAUAAGCGACAUUCUUUCCCGGGUAACAGUCAAGUCCCUGUGCCGCUUCAGGUGCGUAUCGAAGCCAUGGCUUUCUCUGAUCACUCACCCUGAUUUUGUCAAACUUCACUACAACAGAGCCUUUGAGAAAGAGGAUAUACUGCACCAGAGGCGACGAGUCCUAAUUGACGUACCCGGAAGUAAUUCGCUUUUCUCUUUCGGCAUCGAUGAGUUUCUCAAGCGAAAUGAUCAUGGCGGCGAUGCAGAGGUCGAGGAGAGUGAUAUUGACUGUGUUUAUUGCCAUGAAGAGCUAGAUAGUGGCGUUAUGCUGGUGGUUCCAUGCAAUGGGUUGCUGUUUUUCACGGUGAGCAAUUUGGACUUGUAUUUGCUCAACCCAGCAACCAGGGAAUCUAAGAAACUCCCUGGACCUGAAGGGUUUGGGAUGGAUGGGUGUUCUUAUCACCUUUUUGGGUUUGGAUUUGAUCACUCAGCUGAUGAUUACAAGGUGGUUUACGGGCGGUGCUUUGAUGAUGGAGUUGAUUUCGGUGUCUACAUGCUGAAAACCGGUUCUUGGCGUGUGAUCGAAGAGCGCUAUCCCUACAAACGCGCUGUAACUGAUGAUUCAAAGGGGAUUUUGGUGAAUGGAGGCUUCCAUUGGUUGUCAAGGAAAGUUGGAGAUCAGUCAAUGAUGAUCAUGGCUUUCCUUUUAGCUGAGGAGGAGGUUCGAGAGAUUGAAGCCCCGCCCGAUUUCACCGAAAGCGAUUUGAUUUAUUUCAGUCUUGGAGCCUUCAGGGAAUGCCUGUGUGUAUCCCAAUGGAUUUUGCAAGAUGCAGGAAAUCAUGAGUUUUGGGUGAUGAAGGACUAUGGAGUGAGCGAGUCUUGGACUAAAAUAAAGCUCUCCAUUGUGAUGUUGGAUUCUGGCAACAUUUUGCCUGCCCCUUACAGGACCAAAUCUCAUGAUCUGCUGUUUGCAAAGUGGAUAAGCGAUUUUUAUUUGUACAACUUUGAUGAUCACACCUUUCGCACCGUGUCGAUUACCCUAUUUCAGGAGUUUCGUGAUGCCGAGGCCUACUUGGAGAGCCUUGUUCCGUUGAAUUAGCAUGACAUUAUGGACAUAGCACAUCAAGGAAACCAGCUCAGACAGUCUUCCUGUCACCUGUAAUUUGUUGGAGAAGUGGACCAGUCAGCAUAACUUUUUCUUCCGUAGAAGUAGAAGGUGAAGAGAAGUCCAAGAUCAAAGGAGCAGUGGUGGUGUCAAUAACAGAGCAGAAAUCAAAACUUGUGCAACAAGUUGUAUGCCCUAAGUGAGGAAGUCAUCGUGUGUUGGGCCAGACAUAUAUAUAUAUGGAAGCAACUAUGUAAUGGAUGGCUUUGGAGUUGUUUGCAAGAGCUAGCUAAUUAGGUCUCUCAUGUUCUGUACUCUCGUGUCUUAAAUAAAAAAGGCCAAGACUCCUAUGUCUGGCUCUACCAGUUUCAUUGACAUUUUGGUGUAAUGUUUAGAGUCAUUCGAUACUUAGGCCUUUUUCCUUUCAAAAAGUAACUAUUUGGGUUUUGCCCGGAUUCAAAUCGUUUUUUCUCCCAACCCUCCG